rnacentral:rRNA from 1 species
UGGGGAAUAUUGCACAAUGGGCGAAAGCCUGAUGCAGCAACGCCGCGUGAGUGAUGAAGGUCUUCGGAUUGUAAAGCUCUGUCUUUUGGGACGAUAAUGACGGUACCAAAGGAGGAAGCCACGGCUAACUACGUGCCAGCAGCCGCGGUAAUACGUAGGUGGCGAGCGUUGUCCGGAUUUACUGGGCGUAAAGGGUGCGUAGGCGGAUGUUUAAGUGAGAUGUGAAAUACCCGGGCUUAACUUGGGUGCUGCAUUUCAAACUGGAUAUCUAGAGUGCAGGAGAGGAGAAUGGAAUUCCUAGUGUAGCGGUGAAAUGCGUAGAGAUUAGGAAGAACACCAGUGGCGAAGGCGAUUCUCCGGACUGUAACUGACGCUGAGGCACGAAAGCGUGGGUAGCAAACAGGAUUAGAUACCCUGGUAGUCCACGCCGUAAACGAUGAGUACUAGGUGUAGGAGGUAUCGACCCCUUCUGUGCCGCAGUAAACACAUUAAGUACUCCGCCUGGGAAGUACGAUCG